AUUUCGUCAGCAGGGGCAUUCAUAAUGUUACAGAUCUGAAAAAAGAUCAGGAAAACAGUCUUGCCUGUGACAGCCGGGCAGAUACUAUGAUUCUAAAAGGACCGUCCAACCCCACGAGCUUCUAAGCAGGCCAAGCGAGCAGCUGGGAGCUGGCAGAGGCACACAGGUCGGAAGGCCACUGGCCAGGGCCCAGUGAUCAGCUGGGGGUGUGCUGGGAGAGAGAAGCAGAUGCUCGGCUGACGGCCGUGCACGGAGAUUUUGCGCAGUGUGUUUAUUCCCUUCUCUGAGCUCCAGAUCAGCACACCAGCCCCUCCCCACCUACCCAGCUGGACCCACAGCGCAGGGGACCCCAUGGUGCCAGGGGCCCAGGCUCCCCAUGAGCUGGCCAGCGUGGGUGCAGGGCCCUGCCUCUGGUGCACUUACGGGAUGACCUUGAUGUCUUCCUUGCCGUGGAGGAUGUAGUCGAUGACUUUGUAGAAGAGGAUUUCCUGAGACACGGACCACAGGUGUUGUGAGCUGCUCCCCCAGGAACCCAGGUGCCCUGCUCUACACACGUGUGCACACCCACCCACACAGUUGCAUAUGACUACAUAUGUGCAUGGUACACACACAUGUGCACACAUGCACUUCAUGUACACACACCCAGGCCCCCAUAGACACUCGUGGGACACACACUGUGCGCUUUGUCCUGCCCUUGUCCCCACUGUGUCCCACUCAAACCUAACACGCCUGGGCCCCAGCUCCUUGCACAAACCCACUCUGCCCUCCCAGGCCUGUGUGCUGUGACACAUACUCAUGUGACUGUGGCAGGUGUGGUUGCAGCCAACCUCGGGCAGGGACUGUUCUAGGCACUCAGUGCCCAGAACCCACUGAGCCCUCAUAAUGCCCUGCAAGGAGGCACUGUUGUCACCCCCGUGAGACAGAUGGGGAGACUGAGGCACACCAGGGCUGUGUGAUGUGUCCCGGUUGGGUGCGUAGUAAUGGCGGAGGCAUCUCCCAUGCUCCUACCACUGUUCACACUGCUGCCACCAUGCACACACCCAUGUGCACACGUACACACACACACAUGGACCCAUGUGGGGGUUGUUACAAGGAUUUAAAGAGGGGGUGGCCGAGGACUGACCAACCAAAACAGCCGUCGUAGGCUCACCCUGCUCACAGCCUCAGCGGUCACAGAGGCUGGCCACACCCCCCACACCCCUCCUCUCCCCCACCCUCUCCACCUGGGUGGGGCUGGGCAGGGUUCCCCCGCCGCAGCUGGAGCCUGGGAAACUCAGGCGUGG